rnacentral:lncRNA from 1 species
GGGGCAUGAAAACAUGUGGGACUUGUUGGGGCUCCUCUUUGGACUUAGUCAAAGUUGGUUGGAAACCAAAUAAAACUUGGAGUCCAAUUAGAUUUAGGUUUCAACAUAAAUCAAGCACUUCUUAAGUCCAAUUCUAUUAGACUUAUGAAACCCAGUCUGAGUCUAACUCAAAAUAUAUCUGAUUAAAUUAAAUAUGAUUUAAUUUGAUUAGGACCUAAUCCAAUCAAACAUUGC